rnacentral:rRNA from 1 species
GAUGAACGCUGGCGGCGUGCCUAAUACAUGCAAGUCGAGCGAACAGACGAGGAGCUUGCUCCUCUGACGUUAGCGUCGGACGGGUGAGUAACACGUGGAUAACCUACCUAUAAGACUGGGAUAACUUCGGGAAACCGGAGCCAAUACCGGAUAAUAUAUUGAACCGCAUGGUUCAAUAGUGAAAGACGGUUUUGCUGUCACUUAUAGAUGGAUCCGCGCCGCAUUAGCUAGUUGGUAAGGUAACGGCUUACCAAGGCGACGAUGGGUAGCCGGCCGGAGAGGGUGAUCGGCCACACAGGAACAGAAGCAGGGGCCAGAAUGCUAAGGAAGGGAGCAGUAGGAAAUGUACGGAAAUGGGGGAAAGAAUGACGAAGCAACACAGGGUGGGUGAUAAAGGGAUUAGGAGAGAAAAACUAUGUUAUAGGGAAAGAACAAAGGUGUAAGAAACAAAACAGUUGAUGACGGUAACAAAAAAGAAAACCACGGCUAACUACGUG